rnacentral:rRNA from 1 species
GGGUCCGCACAAGCGGUGGAGCAUGUGGUUUAAUUCGAUGCAACGCGAAGAACCUUACCAGGGUUUGACAUCCUGCGAAUCUCUUGGAAACGAGAGAGUGCCUUCGGGAACGCAGUGACAGGUGGUGCAUGGCUGUCGUCAGCUCGUGUCGUGAGAUGUUGGUUAAGUCCCGCAACGAGCGCAACCCACGUCGUUAGUUGCCAGCAUUUAGUUGGGCACUCUAGCGAGACCGCCGGUGAUAAACCGGAGGAAGGUGGGGAUGACGUCAAAUCAUCACGGCCCUUACGUCCUGGCUACACACGUGCUACAAUGGCCGGUACAGAGGGCAGCCACACCGCAAGGUGGAGCGAA